CGGGAAGUAGCUCAGCUUGGUAGAGCACCACGUUCGGGACGUGGGGGUCGCAGGUUCGAAUCCUGUUUUCCCGA
rnacentral:tRNA from 1 species